rnacentral:lncRNA from 1 species
GGGCUUCCUGCAAUAGACAUUUUCAAGGGUUGUUUGUGGCCGCCGUGCUUGCUGAGGCCUUUCAGGCAGGCAAGGAAGACACAACCUUGGAAUAUGUAUCAAUCCUGUACAAGAUGAAUCGCUGUCCUUCUUGGGUAAUUAACUUCCUGCCAAGCAGCUGUUUGGUCUCCUCAAGGGAUAAUACCAUGGUGGAGCCUCAGAGUCAAUCUCCAUCGCUGGCAGGUAGGAUACUCAGCAGCAACAAGAUCUAGAGGAGUCUCGGUGACAGAUUCUGAUAUCAUGGUGAACAAGGCACCUGAAUAAAGCUUCCCACUGAAAAUCAGCAGAAAAGCAGACACAGCAACCUGGAUCACUCCAUCUCAGGCCAUAGGUCCUCAGGGAAUGACCAAAGUCAAGGAGCUUCUAGAUUCUAAGGCAAGAAUCAGACAGGAGGAUGAAGGGAACUUCAGGGGAAGGUUAUGAUGUCUCCAACCAGACCGAAGAUCAGAGAAAAUCUCCAAAAGACAUGUGAAUGGAUGUCUUAACUUUUAGAACCUUAAGUAAGUAAUUUGUAUGGCAAGCACCCAGCAGAGGAACCAAAGUUAGUCUUUCCAAAGCUGUGUCUCUCUACCAAGCAAGACCUCACUCCUUCCCAAAUCAAUUAAGUUGACUAAUUAAAUUUUCCAGUCUUCAACGCUUCCCUGGGGCUAUCUACUUACUUGAUCAUAAAUGCAU